CCUACGGGGGGCAGCAGUGAGGAAUAUUGGUCAAUGGGCGGGAGCCUGAACCAGCCAAGUCGCGUGAGGGAAGACGGUCCUAUGGAUUGUAAACCUCUUUAGGCGGGGAGCAAUGCCGGGCACGCGUGCCCGGAGGGAGAGUACCCGCAGAAUAAGCAUCGGCUAACUCCGUGCCAGCAGCCGCGGUAAUACGGAGGAUGCGAGCGUUAUCCGGAUUUAUUGGGUUUAAAGGGUGCGUAGGCGGAGUUUUAAGUCAGAGGUAAAAUGUACGGGCUCAAGCCGGGCCGGCCGUUGAAACUGGGGAGCUUGAGUGGGCGAGAAGUAUGCGGAAUGCGUGGUGUAGCGGUGAAAUGCAUAGAUAUCACGCAGAACUCCGAUUGCGAAGGCAGCAUACCGGCGCCCGACUGACGCUGAGGCACGAAAGCGUGGGGAUCGAACAGGAUUAGAUACCCCAGUAGUC
rnacentral:rRNA from 1 species